rnacentral:rRNA from 1 species
UGGGGAAUAUUGCACAAUGGGGGAAACCCUGAUGCAGCGACGCCGCGUGAAGGAUGAAGUAUUUCGGUAUGUAAACUUCUAUCAGCAGGGAAGAAAGUGACGGUACCUGACUAAGAAGCCCCGGCUAACUACGUGCCAGCAGCCGCGGUAAUACGUAGGGGGCAAGCGUUAUCCGGAUUUACUGGGUGUAAAGGGAGCGUAGACGGAACGGCAAGUCUGAAGUGAAAGCCCGGGGCUCAACCCCGGGACUGCUUUGGAAACUGUUGAUCUAGAGUGCUGGAGAGGCAAGUGGAAUUCCUAGUGUAGCGGUGAAAUGCGUAGAUAUUAGGAGGAACACCAGUGGCGAAGGCGGCUUGCUGGACAGUAACUGACGUUGAGGCUCGAAAGCGUGGGGAGCAAACAGG